GGUUAUGUUUCAGUCCAGUUCGCUUUUGUGACAUCCUAUACUUGGACUUUGUUUCUGAAGUUCUAUCUUAUAUGUGCAGUUUUUUCACGUUCUAUGCUAAGCUUGAUUUGAUUGGUUUUUUAAGAAUUCCAGCUGUUUGUUUGUUUUUUUACGUUCCAAGCAUGGAUAUGUCGUUCAUUUUGUUUUCUCCAGGGAUUAUAAUGGACAGAUAGAAGGUGUAGCUGUAUAGUAGUACAAUCACAGCUUCCCUUCUAAUUUUAAUCAGGUAUGUUCUCUAUGUUUCGUGUAAUUUCUUUGAAGGACGACCAGUCAAUUGUUUCCCAGGAUAGCAUCAUUGUUGGGCACAGGUUAUUGUCUGCAAGACAACAAAUUCUCAUGUUCCAGGGAAUAGACUUUGCAUGUAUGUAGAAAUUUUGACCUUAUCCAUGCAAGUCACCAGAUCACAAAAUUGGAGCGAUUCUCAUAGACAUUUUCUGAAUGUCUGACACUAAACUGGAGCAGACCUAUGGCAACCCGGACCUGCAAAAUAAGCCCAUGAAUCAUAUAUCAUCAGGUCACUGUCUUGGCAAGCUUUACAAUGCUUAAUGCAUCGGAGGUUCAGUUGAUGCAUUGCAACUUUGCAUAAUCAGAUUACUUGCCCAGUAACCCGAGCCUAUGUAAACAUACAAAAAGAACUCCAUGGCAGUCAAACCCAAUACACCUCGGGUACCCCAACUAGACGCAACCAUAUUCCAGUGUACCAAGCUAUAAAGGCCAUUCCUACAUAGAAGCAACAACUUUGAACAUGUAAGAAAUGAAGAUAAUGAACAUCAAGAUAUAUAUUUACUUCUUUUUUAGUGUUCUCAGCCUGUUUGUUCUUUGAAACGUGAACAUGAUUAAGUCUUCUUUUGUUAAUGCCAUGCUGAGCCGGAGUCUUAAAAGAA